rnacentral:rRNA from 1 species
CUACGGGGGGCAGCAGUGGGGAAUAUUGGACAAUGGGGGAAACCCUGAUCCAGCAAUGCCGCGUGUGUGAAGAAGGCCUGCGGGUUGUAAAGCACUUUCGGUUGGGAGGACUGCUUCUAGCACUAAUAUUGUUGGAAGUUGACGUUACCUUCAGAAGAAGCACCGGCUAACUCCGUGCCAGCAGCCGCGGUAAUACGGAGGGUGCAAGCAGUAAUCGGAAUUACUGGGCGUAAAGCGCGCGUAGGCGGCUAGAUCAGUCGGGUGUGAAAGCCCCGGGCUUAACCUGGGAACUGCAUCCGAUACUGUCUAGCUUGAGUACAGGAGAGGAGAGUGGAAUUCCACAUGUAGCGGUGAUAUGCGUAGAUAUGUGGAGGAACACCAAUGGCGAAGGCAGCUCUCUGGCCUGAUACUGACGCUGAGGUGCGAAAGCGUGGGGAGCAAACAGGAUUAGAUACCCGGGUAGUC